rnacentral:rRNA from 1 species
GACGAACGCUGGCGGCGUGCUUAACACAUGCAAGUCGAACGCUGAAGCUCAGCUUUUGUUGGGUGGAUGAGUGGCGAACGGGUGAGUAACACGUGAGUAACCUGCCUCCUUCUUUGGGAUAACGCCCGGAAACGGGUGCUAAUACUGGAUAUUCACUGGUCUUCGCAUGGGGGUUGGUGGAAAGGGUUUUUCUGGUGGGGGAUGGGCUCGCGGCCUAUCAGCUUGUUGGUGGGGUGAUGGCCUACCAAGGCUUUGACGGGUAGCCGGCCUGAGAGGGUGACCGGUCACAUUGGGACUGAGAUAUGGCCCAGACUCCUACGGGAGGCAGCAGUGGGGAAUAUUGCACAAUGGGCGCAAGCCUGAUGCAGCGACGCCGCGUGAGGGAUGGAGGCCUUCGGGUUGUGAACCUCUUUCGCUAAUGGUCAAGCCGCAACAAUGGUUGUGGUGAGGGUAGUGGGUAAAGAAGCGCCGGCUAACUACGUG